rnacentral:lncRNA from 1 species
GCUUGGCUCGCUGGGUGGUGAAAUCAUUGAGGGAGCGUUGGGCCUCUUCUAGCUUCACGCGGUACUCAUUGGCCUGGUCCUCCAGCGUCCGAGACACUUUCUCCAGGUUUGCCUUCAGGACUCACUUGGCCUCCUCGAGCUCCUCAGUCCGCUGAAUGGCGUCCGUCUCAUACUUGGUCCUCCACUGGGCCACCUCCGAGUUGGCCUUGGAAAGGACGCGCUGCAGCUCGGCCUUGGCCUCCGUCUCCUCCUCGUACUGCUCCCGCAGCAGGUCGCAGUCAUGCCGGGCCGACUGCAGUGCGUGGGCCAGGGCGUUCUUCGCCUGGGG